rnacentral:lncRNA from 1 species
AUCGAGAAGUUGCAACAAGACAUUCCCGGGAAAGGGGUUAAGCAACAGCUGGAGGUGCUUUGCGGUAUCUAUUCCCUCUUCCUUCUUCACAAACAUCAAGCAGAUUUUCUCGGGACUGGCUAUAUCACCUCAAAGCAGGCAUCACUUGCUAAUGACCAGCUCAGAGCCUUAUAUUCCAAGGUUCAUCUCGUUAAACUUGUUAUCUGUCUUUUUUGAGAUUUUCUCGGAACUGGCUAUAUCACCUCAAAGCAGGCGUCACUUGCUAAUGACCAACUCAGAGCCUUAUAUUCCCAGGUUCGUCUCGUUAAACUUGUUUUCUGUCAUUUGUGCUUGGAGGAUUGAAAGCUGCUUUUACUGAUCCAUUACUGUUUAAUAUCAG